UACGAAGGGGGCUAGCGUUGCUCGGAAUCACUGGGCGUAAAGCGCACGUAGGCGGAUUGCUAAGUCAGGGGUGAAAUCCUGGAGCUCAACUCCAGAACUGCCUUUGAUACUGGCGACCUUGAGUCCGGGAGAGGAGACUGGAAUUCAUGGUGUAGCAGUGAAAUGCGUAGAGAUCAUGAGGAAGACCAGUGGCGAAGGCGGCCAUCUGGGACAACACUGACGCUGAAGCACGAAAGCGUGGGGAGCAAACAGG
rnacentral:rRNA from 1 species